UUCAGAGCUGUGGACCUUCGUCGAACAGCUACCACAGGGCGGAUCGUGUCGUUCGCGAGAAGAGACUCGAUAGAUCGCAGUGUGGUAGCUGCUCUACUAAGCACGUCACUCCGAACGGCAAGUCGGGUCGUAUGCAAGCGAUCCCUUUCGUCUCGAUCUCUUCGAACUAGUCGGGGCGGGACGACGAGCAGACGACGACGGCGCGGACGCCGCAGCCGCCACCGCGUCCCCGAAUGGCAAUUCCGCCGGCGACGCCUGCCGCGCGUCGCGG